AGUCUCGCUCACUCUAAGACUCUGAAAAGUGUUACCUGCGUGGGAGUUUGCAGCUGCAGAUCCUGCCAGAGCUUAGAAAAGAGAAAUGCUUGCAUUCAAGGGGAAUGGAGCCAUCCAUCCAGUAGAGAGCUGAUGCCUUACUUGCUAGAGUAAUGAAUGAAAGAACGGGCCCCGCACUUUUCCUGAACUUGGGAAAAAGAACAACGCUGGUGCUUUAGCAGUAGCCUCUUGAGAGCCCACUUCUGUCAACUGAAGAGCACUGUUUGGAGCAGGAUGACUACAGAUGGUUGACCUCAGAUAAGCCACUUUGAAGCCAUGAGUUGUGCCCACAGCCCUCCAUAGACUCUACAUAAAUUUUUCAGGGGUUAAGCUCUGUAAAAGGUCGUGAAGAGCAUGAAGCAGAGUUAUGACUGCCUAUUCGGGAUUUCCUCUUAUUCACAUAAUGGAAUGCAUCUUCACAUAUUCAAUCAGCCACAGUUAUUCUGCCUGGUUACACAGAUUGAAGCUAAGAUGCACGCUGAACAUUUCUGUCACUUUUGCUGUUCUGGCCACUAUACUUAAUCGAAGAACUGGAAGGAAAACUCUCAUUAGAGAAAAAUUCUAUUAGCCUUAUGAAAGCCUGCACUGGGCUAAUAGAGGCCUUAGAGAGCUCUCCCUUCUGGAUAGGGUUGGCCUGAUCAAGGCCUGAGGCGGAAUGAAGAGACAGAGUCAGUGUCUGAGUAAACACUGGGGCCAUAGAUGAAGAGGAUUUUGUUCAUAAGUCUAUUGCUCAGAAACUGGAGACUAAGCCUGCCACAGCAAUGAGCUGCUGGUAGUAUAUACUGCAACCCAAGAGACUGUUGCAAACUUCGAGGUGAAAAUGAGAAUCUGUUUGUGGUUAUUGUUCAAGCAAAGGAGACAUCCUUGUGUUGAGGAUCCAGGUGAUGGUAGGUUUCUAUUACAUAGGCUAAGAAAAAUAACAAUCCAAAACACGGGUAAGAUAAGCUUACUUUGGGAGUGGUGGUGGUGGCUGUGUGUAUAUAGGGGUAAGCUGUACAUGCUUCUGGGUAAUAUAAGUGUGUAAAGGAGAUGUCUGAGGGCACUGUGUACAUUUGGGUACUUCCAGUUUGUGUUGCUAAGUUGGGUUGAAAGAUUAUGGCAGUAGACAUGUACUGAGAGUUAAAAAGCCUCACUCAUGGUGCAUGGAUGCUGAGGGUUGCUGAAAGUGGAGUGGCGUCCAGAAGUGGGAGCAGCAUCUUUGUGGUCAUAUGGCAGGAUCAUUCUUUUCCUGGAGGGAAGAAUGCCAGCUGUAAAGCACCUAGAACUUAAGAAUUUUCCAGGAGAAAGGAUGCAGGGAAUGCAAACCUCUAAGUAAGUAAAGUGAAAAUGGAAUCCAGGUUCAAACUGAGAUGGAGUAAAUGAAAUAUAGAGAAUCACUGAAAUGUACUUCAAAUUCCUUCCAAAUUACCCUGUAGCACUUCUGGUUGACAAGGCUUUGUCAGACCUGUCUUGGUAGGUCUGUCCCAUCAGGAAUCAGGGCAGAGAUGAAGGGACAGAUGGAGGAAAGGAGACAGAGUAUAUGAUCUUGCUCAAGGGACACGUUAAAUUUAAGGUUUUUCUUUUUGUUAAUAGCUUCACAGUGUGUUAGUGUCUGACCUUGCAGAAAGGAUUUUUAAGUACCUUCCCAUUCUCCCUUUGCUUUGCUUUCUGCUUUUUAUCUUCAUAGAGUAAUAAAGAUGCUCAACUCCAGAGAGCUCCUAUAGGAAUUGAGUGCUUAAACACACACAGCCUUGCUCUGGAAGGGGAGAUGGAGGAAGAAGUGUGAAUAGGAAGGGGGAGGAGAUCUGUCAAAAAUCAGUUUUAGGACUGAUCAAAGCAGGAAGGAAGGAGAGGAAAGUCUCCUCCUGCAACAGAGCUAUGCAUGCAUCAGUGCUGGGAAUAGUGUACAUUAAGAAUUAGCAUUUGCUUGGAGCUUUUAAUGUGCAGCAAAAAAUAGAAUUGAUCUCCAAUCCUGCUACAAGCCUAAGGAGAACUAAGACACACUGGUUAGGAGAGGGUGCUUUCCCUGCUUGGCAGCACAAGGCUGGGAGUGGGAAUAACACUAAAACUCAGAUGGCUGAGUGUAUGCUUUGUAUGCAGCUAUAAAAGUGGCAGUAAAAGGAAUAGCUCUCUUCUGUUUAUUGUGUUGCUUCUGUUUAGGCUUACACUUGUGUCUACUACCUGUGGUUCUGUGUGAGGUACCACUAAUCUGGGGAGCUGGGCAUUGCAGAAAAGGAUAAACAGAAGAGUUAAAGAAAGCAAAUGACAAAAUAACCAACCAAAAGAGAAACACAUUUCUAAUUCAUCUAGGGUAAAAGCUGAAUCUUCAUUGCACUAGGGGCAAUUCAGUGUUCUCUGUGAGUACACAAUGGUGGGAAUG